UCAGAAAAUUCAAUUUUUCAGUACUUUUCGUCAGUGGUAAACCGUGGUACAGAGUAAAAACGCCAAGAGAAAACAUGGUGGUCAACUUUAUCAAAUGCACUAUAUAUGCUAGACUGAUGAAAUUUAGAAAACGACACGAACCACCCAAGCAACAUUGGCUAGACUACGCUUCCGACAAAUUUUCUAAGAAGUUAAUUUGCGACAUGAAGAUUAUAUAUUCAGUUUUAUUGCUCUUCACGCCGUUGCCGAUUUUCUGGUCUCUUUUUGAUCAGCAAGGUUCAAGAUGGACCUUUCAGGUAAAA